rnacentral:tRNA from 1 species
CGGGAUGUGGCGCAGCCUGGUAGCGCGCUCGCUUGGGGUGCGAGAGGCCCGCGGUUCAAAUCCGCGCAUCCCGA